rnacentral:rRNA from 1 species
CCUACGGGGGGCUGCAGUGGGGAAUAUUGGACAAUGGGCGAAAGCCUGAUCCAGCCAUGCCGCGUGUGUGAAGAAGGCCUUCGGGUUGUAAAGCACUUUCAGUGGGGAAGAAAGCCUUGGGGCUAAUACCCUCGAGGAAGGACAUCACCCACAGAAGAAGCACCGGCUAACUCCGUGCCAGCAGCCGCGGUAAUACGGAGGGUGCGAGCGUUAAUCGGAAUUACUGGGCGUAAAGCGCGCGUAGGCGGUCUGAUAAGCCGGUUGUGAAAGCCCCGGGCUCAACCUGGGAACGGCAUCCGGAACUGUCAGGAUAGAGUGCAGGAGAGGAAGGUAGAAUUCCCGGUGUAGCAGUGAAAUGCGUAGAGAUCGGGAGGAAUACCAGUGGCGAAGGCGGCCUUCUGGACUGACACUGACGCUGAGGUGCGAAAGCGUGGGUAGCAAACAGGAUUAGAUACCCUAGUAGUC